CUGGGCCGAGAAUCGUGGGGGAUGCGCCGCGCUGCACCGCUGCCUAGCAGUGUUGUCCGGUAUACCGUAUUGCGCGGUCAUUUCAACCCAUGUAGGAUGCUCAGUCAGUAAUAGUAAAUAAGCAGUGCCUGCCCAGAAGAGCAUGCCAUCCUUUUACCCGUCUCUGAAAUAUGAAACACCAGAACCUGAAGGAAACACGACCACGUCCUGUUUGCCACCAAGCAAGGUCGAGAAAUGAAUGUCAGGGAAACAAAAACGUAUGGAUUCCUGUCAGUUGAAACUUAUCCUAGUCAAAACAUGUGAAAUAAGAGCUUUUGGUUAAUGGCAUUUAUUGAGGAAACUGGAAAACAAUUAAAUGAAAAGGGAUUCACAUCUGGAAGACAUUGCUGGGACAUAGAGGUGGAGUACACAGGAGACAAGUGUGGAAGUAGCCAGAGCCUGUGCAGUGGAAAGGAAGCAUCAUUCUUAAUCCUGAGGGGAUCUGGGCUGUGCAGAAGUAGGAGGGUAAGUACCAGGCUCUCACCUUCCCUGAAUCUGUCCUGUCCCUGAACCAAGCCCUCAGUAAGAUGUGGGUCUCUAGAUGAUGAUGAGGACAAGUGGCAUUUUUUGAUGCUAGUAAUGACGCCCUGAUCUUCAAGUUCCCACUAGGCUCAUUUGCUGGGGAAAGAGUCCACCCUUGGCUCUGGGUGGGGAGAUCCCCCUUCACGCUGUGUCCCUGAGACCUGUCAGGGGGCAGUAUCCCCUGAGGAUGCUGAUGUUGGCCUCUGUUGUUCCAGAAAACCCAGUCUCUGUGACUCUUGAGGACUCCUGCUUUCCUACUCACCUUCUUUCCAUGGUUAUGACUCUGGAGGUUCAGGUGUGGGUCUGUGGGCUAGUAAAGCAGAGAGUAGGAAGUGCUUGUGAUGGAGAAGCUGAUCUCUUUGCUCUAUGAAUUAUUUAACCUGAUGUCACCAUCCUCUAUGGUCCAGAGGGAUUUCAGCAACUGUAUAUUCUCUGACUAGAAGUUGGGAAUCUACAGCAAGUGAUUGGAAGUGAAAAGAAAAGACACCAGUCCCAGUGACAGGGGGUGGGGGUUAGGGUUAGGGGGAUAGUGAAAUAAUCUUAAACAUGGUUGUCUCCUUCAGUUGCAACAUUUGUUUAUUGAGUGCAUUAGCUCAUGAAAUGUGGAGCCAGUUCAGUAUAUUAAAAGGACUUGUGUCCAAGUUUUGCACCUUUAUUCACCUCUGAUGAAAAGAUCACUCCUAAGUUUAUUGAAUCCCUCAGGUGUAUGAUGAAUAAAAUGUUUUUGUUGUUGUCAUUUUAAAUAUAUAACUAUUGUUAUCUCUUUGCUUCCUGGCUUAUAUAUAUAUAUCACUAUUCAUUCCCCCAACCCCACUUUGAUUAUUUUCUUUUUGCUAAAAUUUUAGUGGGAGCAAGCAGGGCCAGGGGACUUGACUUUUUCCUGUACAAAAUGCCAUGAAGUUUCCUAAAGGCAAUCAGGACUCGUAGUAGAGAUGAUAUCUUUUAUUAGACCAACAAGAUUUUUCCAAAAAAAAAUUAUUUACUUGCAAAAUUUCAGGCACAAACACCUUUCAUCAGGCAUUGAAGAAAAGAUUGUAAAAGUUCUCCUGGGUAGAACUGAAAGUUCAUAUUUCAUAGCAUUUCACAGAGGAGUCAAUACAUGGAAAACUCCUCUGGGCAGUCAGUUCAUAGCUGGUAUGGAGUCUCUCACCUUCUGUGAGGAUCUGUGAUGAUGAUGCAAAUUACCUUGAAACAAAGGCAGGAGCAGGAUCUCAGGUUUCAGGUGGUCACAGUUGCUUCCUGCUUGGGAAAAUAUGAAGAUUUCAUUAAAAAAAUUGGCUAAAAUUCAAUAUCUUUUACGUGUCAGGUAUCCAGGUUGUAGCUGUAUUGGUCUAGAGGAAAAGGCAAUCGGGCCUUGUAGUAGAGAUGAUAUCUUUUAUUAGACCGACAAGAUUUUUGCAAAAAAAAAUUCUUUAAUUGAAAGCUUUCAGGCACAAACACCCUUCAUCAGGCACUGGAGAAAAGAUUGUAAAAGUUCUCCUGGGUAUAGGAAACUCGUGAAGUUUCCUAUACUGGGGUUAUAGGUACUAGUGGUGCACCAAUACAUCAGUCCCAGUUGGAUCGACACCAAUAUGAGGAAAAUUGAGAGGAUCAGUAAUCAGUUUUUUUGUGUGAUGUGGCUGAUAAUGUGACUGAUAAAUGCUGCAUGCAUGCGUGCAGCCCCAGCGCAGCACGCAGGCAGCCAGGAAUGCAGCCCUGCAGCAUGGAGAGCAGCCAAGUCCAGCUAGUAAGU